GGCGAGGAGUGGCGCACUGGGGUUAGAAAGCAUCAGCCUCAAGCAGAAACCUGGGAACUGCGAUUCUUCCCACCCUAAAGCCCUCCCAGUGGAGGAGGUCCCCUGCAAAGAGCGACACCCCCUUCUCAACCUCCACCUCAGGGAGGAGUCCCGCCCCGGGAAGGAAUGUCAGGUGCAGAGAAGCAUACUUCGUGGGUGACUUCAACUUCGUUACAGGGUGACUUCAACUUCCUUACCAAGUUAAACAAACUAAGGCCGC